rnacentral:rRNA from 1 species
CAGCAGUGGGGAAUAUUGCACAAUGGGCGCAAGCCUGAUGCAGCCAUGCCGCGUGUGUGAAGAAGGCCUUCGGGUUGUAAAGCACUUUCAGCGGGGAGGAAGGCGAUAAGGUUAAUAACCUUGUCGAUUGACGUUACCCGCAGAAGAAGCACCGGCUAACUCCGUGCCAGCAGCCGCGGUAAUACGGAGGGUGCAAGCGUUAAUCGGAAUUACUGGGCGUAAAGCGCACGCAGGCGGUCUGUCAAGUCGGAUGUGAAAUCCCCGGGCUCAACCUGGGAACUGCAUUCGAAACUGGCAGGCUAGAGUCUUGUAGAGGGGGGUAGAAUUCCAGGUGUAGCGGUGAAAUGCGUAGAGAUCUGGAGGAAUACCGGUGGCGAAGGCGGCCCCCUGGACAAAGACUGACGCUCAGGUGCGAAAGCGUGGGGAGCAAACAGGAUUAGA